UUAAACCACUCACUGCACUCUGAACUUUCAAACGCAAUGGCUUCUGAUGCACUCUGCUCCCUUUGUAACUCCUUGCUAGGCCCGUCACGAUAGCAAAUUCUUUAGGAUGAUAUAUUUUCCCAAAAACUAUCACGAUAAACCAACGCAUCAUUGUUUUUUUUGUUUUUUUAAAAUACCACUGAUAUAAUGAUAUUAGAGCAUAAUAAUUCAAGUAUAUCCUUUUUAAGAACAAUUCACUUUUAAUUCUGAAGAAUAUUGAACACUGGCAUUGAAAUGUAGAACAAUAAAUAAAAUAUCUUAGAUCAAUAAAAAAAUAAAAAAUACAAAUAAAACACUCAGGCUCUGUUCACAAAAAUUGCACAUAAAUAUAAAACAAUUGGUAUAGAGAGUCAUUAACCUACGGAGCCCCCCUUGUGCCAAGGUAUGAGAAAAAUAAAAUUCAUUGAUAAUCUGUUCCCUCAAUUUAGUAAUCCGUACCCUCAGUUUAGUAAACUGUACCCUCAGUUUAGCAAAUGUCUGGGGCUCCGUAUACCUACGUAUAUCUGUCAAGUAAAGUAAAUUCUAUUUGUAUGUUAUCUUACUCGUGUGAAUUCUGUGUAUAAAUUGUCAUGUCGUGAUAUAUCCUACAUCCCAUUUUUUUCAACUGAAAGGCAAUAUUGCUGUAGUUCGAGGGGGUUGAUCAUUAUAUAGCAGUACUAGCAGGACUGGCUACAAUUAGCCUGCGUGUUUCCUAAACACAGUACUAAAUUGAGGGUACAGAUUACUAAACUGAGGGUACAGUUUACUAAACUGAGGCAACGGAUUACUAAAUUGAGGGAACAGAUUAUCAGUGAAUUUUAUUUUUCUCAUACCUUGGCACCAGGGGGGCUCCGUAUUAACCCACUAAAGAGGCCCAAAAAUGUUUUUUUUUUUUUUUUUUUUUUUUUAAAGAAAGCCUGCCAAAUUUGAAUGAAUUAAUAAAAAUCACCAUGUAUGUAAAAUAAGGCUCUGAAAUCCAGAAAAAUAAUACCCUAGAGCUGCAGGACUGUGUGGAAGUGUCCGCUGAAGGGGCUGAAGACAGAAAUUCACCUGUCAAAACAAAUACGUCGCUGUAGUCACCUACUAGCUGAAUAAUGUGAGCCGCUGUGGUUAUGGUUAGUAGGGUUAGUAAAGAGUUAACUUUCCUGUGUUUGUGUGUAUUAUGUGAUGACUAACACACACAAUGCCACUGACGUUUUAAAUGACCUCGCUACGGUCGAGCAACAUGUUGAGCUCGCUUGCUCGCGAAAAUAACAAAGUUAACUUUACCAAAAGUGUCUCUGUUGUGUCACACAAACAAGGCCGGAUUUGAACCCUGGGCCUUAGAACUGUGAGGCAGAUGUGCUAACCAGUUGUUCACUGUGCUGCCCUGAACCAUAAGUCUAUAUAGUAUUUAUCGUGACAGGCCUACUCCGAGCGUUCUUCCUUUCGCUCGAUUUUGUUCAUGACUUUUUGCUCUCUAACAGCAGUGACCUUAUCUAUUCCUUGCAUUUCUCUUCACUUCUACGUUUCCAGAUUUUCGUGUCUCUUAUUUCGUAGUACAGUCUUUUAAUUUUGGGAAUUCUGUGCUUGGCAUCUAUUACUGGAAUUCUAGCACCCUACCAUAAAGUCAACAUUUCACCAUCAACAAUUGUUGUAUGUUCUUUUAAAUUAUUUGUGUCUCUGCGAAUGAUGUAGAAGAACUAGUGAAAUAAGGCUUUUAUUGUUCAUUCUGAAGCCAAUUGAAUAUACAAUAUAGAUAUACCUGUAAAAUCUAGUAAAAAUUGGAACCUUUUUCUUUAUCAUUUUGCAAAGUUUCUCCAGUAGAUAAUUAUCGAAUCAACCCUCAUUAACAUGGACUUGCUAAAAUGAUUGAAAUUGCGAAGUCACACGAGAUACAAUAAUGGCAUGAUAGUUUGCUAAUGAUAACCAUAUUGCAAUACAGCGAUUCAGCUUUGGAAAACCAAAUUUGUUCUAUUCUUAGACACAUUAUCAAUCAUAGUGUUCUUGGAAUUUGUUCAUAGAUAUUAACACGAGAUACCAUACUUUUGAACUUUAGAAAAAAAAAAAAAAAGUCAACCCCCACACAUUUGAGGUUUGGCAAUUGACAAUAUUUUUAGGUAUAUUUAUUUAUUUAUUUAUUUUAAGGCACUGAACCUCCUUUAGCCGCAGAAAACCCCGCCUACUCGCAAUUUCCUAUGAUGUAGCAAAAAGUCAGAUUAAAAAAAAAAAAUUUAAUAUUUUUUUUUUUUUUUUUUUUUUUUUCGUGGCAAAAUUCUGUUUACAGUAAAGUGGACCCUCACUAUUCAUGGGGAAUAAGGACCGUGCUCAACCACAAAUAGUGAAAAUCUCCGAAUAAUUGACCCCCAUUAUAAUGGCCUUGAGGAAAAAAAUCUCUUUUUAAACCAAAGAUUUUUUUGAAUAAGUGGGGAUAUACCGCCAAUAAUGAAUGCAGCCCUAUGGGGGGCACAAGUCAGUGCAAACUGUAGGCCGGUCCCAAGCCCGGAUAAAUGCAGAGGGUUGCGUCAGGAAGGGCAUCCGGCUUAAAACCUUGCCAAACAAAUAUGAGCGUUCAUCCAAAUAAUUCCAUACCGGAUCGGUCGUGGCCCGGGUUAACAACGUCCGCCACCGGCGCCGUCAACCUGCAGGGCGCUGUUGGAAAUCCAGCUACUGUGGGUCGAAGUCAAAGUCAAAGAAGAAGAAGAAGAAGAGGUGGAAAGCGGGUUCUUCGGCAGAAAGAGAAGAGGAAAACACAGAGCCUAGAACUGAAUGUGGGGACUUUGAAUGUUGGGACUAUGACAGGAAAAUCUCGGGAGUUGGUUGACAUGAUGAUUAGGAGAAAGGUUGAUAUAUUGUGUGUCCAGGAGACCAGGUGGAAAGGCAGUAAGGCUAGAAGUUUAGGGGCAGGGUUUAAAUUAUUUUACCAUGGUGUAGAUGGGAAGAGAAAUGGAGUCGGGGUUAUUUUAAAAGAAGAGUUGGCUAAGAAUGUCUUGGAGGUGAAAAGAGUAUCAGAUCGAGUGAUGAGGCUGAAAUUUGAAAUUGAGGGUGUUAUGUGUAAUGUGAUUAGUGGCUAUGCCCCACAGGUAGGAUGUGACCUAGAGGUGAAAGAAAUUCUGGAAGGAGCUAGAUGAUGUAGUUCUGAGCAUCCCAGACAGAGAGAGAGUCGUAAUUGGUGCAGAUUGUAAUGGACAUGUUGGUGAAGGUAAUAAGGGUGAUGAAGAAGUGAUGGGUAAGUACGGUAUCCAGGAAAGGAACUUGGAGGGACAGAUGGUGGUAGACUUUGCAACAAGGAUGCAAAUGGCUGUAGUGAACACUUUUUUCCAGAAGAGGCAUGAACAUAGGGUGACCUACAAGAGCGGAGGUAGAAGCACACAGGUGGAUUACAUCUUGUGCAGACGAUGUAAUCUGAAGGAGGUUACCAACUGUAAGGUAGUGGUAGGGGAGAGUGUGGCUAGACAGCAUAGGAUGGUGGUGUGUAAGAUGACUCUGGUGGUGGGGAGGAAAAUUAGGAAGACAAAGGCAGAGAAGAGAACCAUGUGGUGGAAGCUGAGACAGGACGAGUGUUGUGCAGCUUUUCGGGAAGAGGUGAUACAGGCUCUCGGUGGACGGGAAGAGCUUCCAGAAGACUGGACCACUGCAGCCAAGGUGAUCAGAGAAGCAGGCAGGAGAGUACUUGGUGUAUCUUCUGGCAGGAAAGGAGAGAAGGAGACUUGGUGGUGGAACCUCAUAGUACAGGAAAUCAUACAAGGAAAACGGUUAGCUAAGAAGAAGUGGGACACUGAGAGGACCGAGGAGAGGCGAAAGGAAUACAUUGAGAUGCGACACAGGGCAAAGGUAGAGGUGGCAAAGGCAAAACAAGAGGCAUAUGAUGACAUGUAUGGGAGGUUGGACACUAAAGAAGGAGAAAAGGAUCUAUACAGGCUGGCCAGACAGAGGGAUGGAGAUGGGAAGGAUGUGCAGCAGGUUAGGGUGAUUAAGGAUAGAGAUGGAAAUAUGUUGACUGGUGCCAGCAGUGUGCUAGGUAGAUGGAAAGAAUACUUCGAGGAGUUGAUGAAUGAGGAAAAUGAUAGAGAAGGGAGAGUAGAAGAGGCAAGUGUGGUGGACCAGGAAGUGGCAAUGAUUAGUAAGGGGGAAGUUAGAAAGGCAUUAAAGAGAAUGAAAAAUGGAAAGGCAGUUGGUCCUGAUGACAUUCCUGUGGAGGUAUGGAAGCAUCUAGGAGAGGUGGCUGUGGAGUUUUUGACCAGCUUGUUCAAUAGAAUUCUAGUGCGUGAGAAGAUGCCUGAGGAAUGGAGGAAAAGUGUACUGGUGCCCAUUUUUAAGAACAAAGGUGAUGUGCAGAGCUGUGGCAACUAUAGAGGAAUAAAGUUGAUGAGCCACACAAUGAAGUUAUGGGAAAGAGUAGUGGAGGCUAGACUCAGGACAGAAGUGAGUAUUUGCGAGCAACAGUAUGGUUUCAUGCCUAGAAAGAGUACCACAGAUGCAUUAUUUGCCUUGAGGAUGUUGAUGGAAAAGUACAGAGAAGGUCAGAAGGAGCUACAUUGUGUCUUUGUACAUCUAGAGAAAGCCUAUGACAGAGUACCCAGAGAGGAACUGUGGUACUGCAUGCGGAAGUCUGGAGUGGCAGAGAAGUAUGUUAGAAUAAUACAGGACAUGUACGAGGGCAGCAGAACAGCGGUGAGGUGUGCUGUCGGUGUGACAGAAGAAUUUAAGGUGGACGUGGGACUGCAUCAGGGAUCAGCCCUGAGCCCCUUCCUUUUUGCAGUGGUGAUGGAUAGGCUGACAGAUGAGGUUAGACUGGAAUCCCCGUGGACCAUGAUGUUUGCAGAUGACAUUGUGAUCUGCAGUGAAAGCAGGGAGCAGCUGGAGGAACAGUUAGAAAGAUGGAGGCAUGCACUGGAAAGAAGAGGAAUGAAGAUUAGCCGAAGUAAAACAGAAUAUAUGUGCAUGAAUGAGAGGGGUGGUGGGGGAAGAAUGAGGCUACAGGGAGAAGAGAUGGCAAGGGUAGAGGACUUUAAAUACUUGGGGUCAACCGUCCAGAGCAAUGGUGAGUGUGGUCAGGAAGUGAAGAAACGGGUCCAAGCAGGUUGGAACGGGUGGAGGAAGGUGUCAGGUGUGCUAUGUGACAGAAGAGUCUCUGCUAGGAUGAAGGGCAAAGUUUAUAAAACAGUGGUGAGGCCAGCCAUGAUGUACGGAUUAGAGACAGUGGCACUGAAGAGAAAACAGGAAGCAGAGCUGGAGGUGGCGGAAAUGAAGAUGUUGAGGUUCGCUCUCGGAGUGACCAGGUUGGAUAAAAUUAGAAAUGAGCUCAUCAGAGGGACAGCCAAGGUUCGAUGUUUUGGAGACAAAGUUAGAGAGAGCAGACUUCAAUGGUUUGGACACGUCCAGAGGAGAGAGAGUGAGUAUAUUGGUAGAAGGAUGAUGAGGAUGGAGCUGCCAGGCAAGAGAGCUAGAGGAAGACCAAAGAGAAGGUUGAUGGAUGUCGUGAGGGAAGACAUGAUGGCAGUUGGUGUUCGAGAGGAGGAUGCAGGAGAUAGGCUCUCAUGGAAAAGGAUGACACGCAGUGGCAACCCCUAACGGGACAAGCCGAAAGGAAAAGAAGAAGAUACCGCCAAUAAUGCCUGGAUCAGACUACGAGAAAUUUGGGCUUUCACAAUGACACUAUGUCAAACAAACUGCCAUAAAAUCAUGCCGUAUCUCCGUCAGCCCCUGGCAACACUAUACAACACAUAUACAAGACCACCGUAUCCCAUCUUUUAUGAUAACUGGGCUUUAUCUUGUCAAAUCAAAUAUUGUCGGGAGGCGGGACCAGAUACAGGUCACCAGUCACCUGACCGGAUACAACCGUUACCAUGCCGACAACAACAGCAAUGGCAUGCGGCAAUGUAUUGUGGUAAAUAAAUGAACAAAAAGGGCGUUUUGGGCUGUCCAUUAAAGGAGAGCUUGAGGUAUGUUCACAUACUUCUAACAUGGCUCGCAACCAGGCACCAUAACGUUAUGUAGCUUGUGCUAGCACUAAUGUUUGGACGUAAACAUGAUGGGGUUCUGCCGAGUCAUGCUCUAAAGCUUUGGUAAAUAUUGGUUUGUGUGCCUGAAUAAAUGUUGACAUUGGCAACCAAGUAUGUUGACAGUGGCGAGUAGGGGAGGCAAUGCCCCGGUUGCAAUACGCAAUCCUAUUGGUCAGUGUCAAGGUGCACUGUUGGACGGUUGUCAUUCAUAUGUCACACUACAUGGAAGUUAUCCCAAAAAAUCAAACAUGCCACACUUUUUGUUUUGGCGUCGUAGGGCCAUCGUAUGGCCGAAUCGUUGGUCGUGGAUUAUGUCACUCUACAAGAAGUUUUGUCGUUCCCGACAAAAUAUGUCAGGCCCCAUCUGGGAAAUCGCCUACGAUAGCAAAUCGGUCCAAUAACGGGGCUAAAAUCCUGUAGUCUGAUCUAGGCAUAAGUGUUUUCCAUGAAAAAAUGGGUUGGUCCCCCUCACCCCCCAAACAAAAUAUGAUAAAUUGAACAAAUACCAGAAAAAAAAAUCUGUGAAUACUGUACCGUUGGUGCCAAACCACGAGUAUGGACUGCAUGUAUGUACUUCUGGAGAACAGUCCUGAGGUUUUCAGUGGUUAACCUUUGGUAUGGCUCCAUGUUUAUCUAUGAGGGCAUGGAGUGAGGGCUAGUAUAUUAGUCUUAUCGGCCCCCAGUGGGACGUAAACAACCAGCUUGUACACAGUAACUAAUUUGCUGGUUAAAAAACGUCACCAUUUAACAUCUUUAGCAAUUCAAUGUCCAUCCAGCAGCAUUUAUCCAUCAUCCAAAUACAAUAUCCGCACACCAACUGUUAAUGCUCAGCUCAUCUCUGCGUCAGGAACAGGCUAAGUAGUUAGGUGGGCACGUCGGCAUGUAGCCCGCAUGUCUGUUUGGUUUCGGGUCUUUGUCCAAACCAAUAGGUAGCUGUAGACCCAUAGAUAUAGUAGGCUUAUACUGUAUAUGUUUUGUUUAUCUCUGCGCAAUGGUUAGCACGUAACUCGUUCGCCUCUCGCCACAUCUCAGUUUUGCUUAUACGUUGACUUGUGGCAUUUUUAAGAGUACAACAUUGUUUGAAGAUGUUUACAAGUGUAUGAUAUGCUAUUAAGGUGUUUAAGGAUCAUAGUUUGACGCAUACUUUAAGUCUAAACUGUUGAUAGAGGCAAUUGUAACUUUAUCCCUUAUCACAAAUUCUAUCACUUUUAGUGGGAGUGUCAAUUAUUUCCAGAAAUUUGCUAUUCGAAAUCGGGCUUGGUCCCUAUCCCCCGCGAAUAGCCGGGGUUCACUGUAAUUAAAUCCCACGAGUUAUGAUGGAUUUAUAUAUUCUUUUGCAUUUUGAACAUAGGCCUUUUUUAUUUAUUUAUGUUAUUUUUUACUCAAUAUGAACAAAAAAAUGCAACUUCAUUCAAUAUUAGUGACAUAGUGUCAAUAGUUGGAUGAGAUUGUAACUUAUCAACUGCACUACUAGAUACAGCAACUCCACCAUGAAACUUGGUGAAUGAAGCCCAUUAUUCUUGUCCUUACAGUGGAUUUUAGAUGUGUGCAUGUUCUUUCCUUUCUCUCUCUCUCAUUACAUGCAAAUGCCGCUGGGCUCCACCGAUGAACACAGAAGAAGAAUUAUGAGAGGCUGCAGAAAGCACUGGACAGUGUCAUGUCCAUACGGGAAAUGACCCAGGGCUCGUAUUUGGAGAUCAAGAAGCAGAUGGACAAACUGGAUCCUUUGGCCCAUCCCCUGCUACAGUGGUGGG